UUUAUCAGCAAUCAGUUCGCAACGCAGUUCAGCUCUGGCACUGGAGUAGUUUCUCUCACACGCGACAGCACAGACUGAUAGCGUCUGUAUAAUAUUAGUGGACGAAAUGAACAUCAUACGACCAUGUUUGCGCUUCUCGGGAACGAGUAUUUUAUGUCGGAGCAAUGGUGUAGAAUCCAGUUGCUGUAAACUGCGGAAUAUCAGCUCUCUGAUCUCAUCAUGGAUGGGUGGUGAGCAAAGAACACUAAUCUCUAAGACAAAGGGAAAUGACGUCUUUCAUUCACCACCCUGGCGUUUCCAGCAGGUCCGCACUGGGAAAAGAGGCACUGAGUAUCAGCCAAACAACAUCAAGCGAAAGAGGACUCAUGGUUGGAUUAAAAGGAUUAGCACACAGGGGGGCAUCGAGGUGAUUCUACGUAGAAUGCUUAAAGGAAGAAAAUCACUGACACACUGAAGCACAUUGAGACUCAAGCUGACUAAAAUGGAGUGUUGUAGAAAAUUAACGUUUGUUGUCUGUAAUAAAGAGCCAUAUAAGAAAAUGCUUUA